ACGAACGCUGGCGGCGCGCCUAACACAUGCAAGUCGAACGAGCGAGAGAGAGCUUGCUUUCUCGAGCGAGUGGCGAACGGGUGAGUAACGCGUGAGGAACCUGCCUCAAAGAGGGGGACAACAGUUGGAAACGACUGCUAAUACCGCAUAAGCCCACGGCUCGGCAUCGAGCAGGGGGAAAAGGAGCAAUCCGCUUUGAGAUGGCCUCGCGUCCGAUUAGCUAGUUGGUGGGGUAACGGCCCACCAAGGCGACGAUCGGUAGCCGGACUGAGAGGUUGAACGGCCACAUUGGGACUGAGACACGGCCCAGACUCCUACGGGAGGCAGCAGUGGGGAAUAUUGCACAAUGGGGGAAACCCUGAUGCAGCGACGCCGCGUGGAGGAAGAAGGUCUUCGGAUUGUAAACUCCUGUUGUUGGGGAAGAUAAUGACGGUACCCAACAAGGAAGAGACGGCUAACUACGUG
rnacentral:rRNA from 1 species